GCGUAUAUUAAAGUUGUUGCAGUUAAAAAGCUCGUAGUUGAAUUUCGGGGUCAGCAGGUUGGUCGUGCCACUGGUAUGAACUGGUUUCGCUGAUUCCUCCUUUCUGAAGAACUGUAAUGUCAUUAAUUUGGUGUUGCAGGGAAACAGGACUGUUACUUUGAAAAAAUUAGAGUAUUUAAAGCAGGCUAACGCUUGAAUACAUUAGCAUGGAAUAAUGAAAUAGGACGUUCAAACCUAUUUUGUUGGUUUCUAGGAUUGACGUAAUGAUUAAUAGGGAUAGUUGGGGGCAUUAGUAUUCAAUUGUCAGAGGUGAAAUUCUUGGAUUUAUUGAAGACUAACUACUGCGAAAGCAUUUGCCAAGGAUGUUUUCAUUAAUCAAGAACGAAAGUUAGGGGAUCGAAGGCGAUCAGAUACCGUCGUAGUCUUAACCAUAAA
rnacentral:rRNA from 1 species